rnacentral:lncRNA from 1 species
GGGCCUUGAGGAUCUUGACCUUCCGGAUAAAAACAUUCUGCAGUGGGAAGAUGCUUGAGGUAGCCUUUUCAAUUUCCUUACCAAUGACCUCAGGAAUAAACUUAGACACCAACUCCUUCAGGUCACAGGUAGAGGCCUGGUUGGCCAUGAUCUCAACCAUCUUCCGGCGGAUCUGCACAUAGAGCGCAAGUAUAGUGAGACAAACAGGAUAACAUAGUUUCAGGCUGAUUUGAAAGAUACAUGGACAUUGCUAGCUUUAGAACUCUUCUACAUAAGCAACAACAGAUGUUACCUGACGGAUCUGGGAGGCCUGUGCAUAGCAGGUACGCUUCACUUGGUUGGGUCUCCUCUUUGUGAAUCCGAUGCAAAACAACCGCAACAUGUAGUUGUCAGUGGUCUUCACAUCAACAUGGGCCUCAAUCAGUGUCUGCCAUUUCCUGACCAGGGACCGAAGCUUGUCGGUCGUAAAAUCC